GCUGGUGUAGAUAUUAUCCUAAUCUUUUUGUAAUGAAAGAGGCAGCCAAACAUGCAACUACUGAAGUCGUUGUUUGAUUUUGCUUCACAGUUACUUGAAUUAUUUUUUGAAAGCUGCUGUUCCAUAUUUGAUUUAAUUCCUUAAAAUCCUUUUUGAAUUUACCAUUUUCUCUCUUGAACGCUUAAAGUGAGAAAUAUUCUUGUGGUAACUAAAAAAUAAUAAAGAGAGAACUGUUGAAAAAGAUAAGAAUCAGUAAUAUAAUAUUACUGAAUAUUAUGUAUUUGUAGAAUAUUUUGUAUAUUUGCUAGGUAUCUUUCUUUACGAAACCGAAUAGUACGAUUCCUUUUUUUUAUAUGAUUUUCCAGAUUCUUAGGUUUAGAGUUGACCUUGAAUAUUUGGUAAUUAAUAGCAAAUUUGUACAGAUUUGUAUACAGCUUGUAUCAGCCUAUUUAAAGCCUUUAUUUUCUCUAUCAAUAGAAUCGUACAAUUACACAAAUUAGCAUGGUAUCAAAUCCCCACUAAAAGAGCCACCGUAAGUCCUAUUUUUUUCCCACUGUCGAAGCCUUUUUCCUCCCAGCCAUGUCUGAAGGGUCAUCUGAAACUAAUCUAGUCCCUACAAGCCAACCUGCCACAAAGAACACCACUCACCAAUCCAAUACCAAAUCCCAUCCUGUUCAAAUCACCACUAUUCGCUUGAAUAGGAAUAAUUUUUUAUGUUGGUCGUAAUCUAUUUGGAUGUAUAUCAGAGGGAGAGGAAAGAUUGGAUACCUGAUAGGAGAAACGAAGGCACUGACACCGAAGGAUCUGACUUAUUCGAUUUGGGAUGCAAAAAACACAAUGGUGAUGACUUGGCUCGUGAAUUCAAUGGAUGAGGAUAUCAGCUCUAACUACAUGUGCUACUCCACGGCUAUGGACCUCCGGAACAAUGUGAAUGAGAUGUACUCUGACUUAGGAAAUCAAUCCCAAAUCUAUGAAUUGACUUUGAAGCUUGGUGAGAUUCGACAAGGGAAAGAUUUAGUUACCAAGUGUUUUAAUUUCUUGAAACAUCUUUGGCAAGACUUGGAUCUGUUUAAUGACUGAAUGAAAAUUUACUGAUGAUGUUGAACACAACAAGAAAACCAUGGUGGCAUAUCGUAUUUAUAAAUUUCUUGUAGGGCAUAAUGUUGAAUUUGAUGAAGUUCAAGGGAGAAUCAUAGGUAGAACCCCUCUUAACCCAAUUGGCGAGGUGUUUGUUGAGGUUCAAAGGGAAGAGAGGCGUCGUCAUGUCAUGCUUGGAAAGUAUGGGACUAAUUGAAAAUUCCACCCUUGCUAGUGUUGAGGCCUCAACCAAUAAAGUUGCUGCUUAUCAGCGGAAAAUUGAGGAGAAGCCACGAUUGGUGCAACUUUUGCAAUAAACCACGCCACACAUGUGAGACCUAUUGGAAGAUUCACGACAAACCACCAAAUUGGAAAAGCAGUAGACCUGGUGACCGGAACAACCACUUCAUUCCCACUACAAAUGAAGUCAAGACAAGUCCCUUCAACAAGGAGCAGAUGGAUCAUCUUUUGAAGCUGCUGAAUUCAAUUCCUCAUCUGGUAUUCCUAGUGUUUCUCUAGCACAAAUAGGUAGUGUCCCCAAUUGUUUCUUCUAGCCAUUUAUAUUUUACUCCAUGGAUCAUUGAUUCUGGUGCUUCUGAUCAUAUGACUAGUUCAUCCAAUUUAUUUUAUACUUAUUCACCAUGUUUUGGUUCUAAUAUAAUUAGAAUUGCUGAUGGUAGUUUUUCACCUAUUACAGGAAAAGGUCUAAUAAAAUUAACUCAGAAUAUAGAUCUUAUAUCUGCACUUCACGUUCCUCAAUUAUCAUGCAAUCUCUAUUAUGUAAGUUAAUUAACUUUCUAAUUGUUGUGUCACUUUCUAUGAUUUUUAUUGUGAAUUUCAAGACCAGAACUCAGGAAAGAUGAUUGGUAAUGCUGUGAUUGAUGGCCUCUACUACUUUACUUUGAUGACAACAUCUUUAGCAAUAAAAUGGCUAAAGGCUUUAGUAGUGUUAGUUCUAAUUUUGUUUAUGAACAAAUAAUGCUUUGGCACUUAAGACUAGGACAUCCUAGCUUUCUUUUCUUAAACACUUGUUUCUUUAUUUAAAGGUUUUGGUUUUUCAUGUUUAUGUUGUGAAAGAUGUUGUUUGUCUAAAAGUCAUCGCAAUAUUUAUCGUUUAAAACCAUAUGCUCCAACAAAACCAUUUUGUUUAAUUCAUAGUGAUGUUUGGGGACUAUCUAGAGUUCCUACUUUAUCUAGAAAAAAAUAAUUUGUGACCUUUAUUAAUGAUUAUACUCGUUUAUGUUGGGUUUACUUGAUGAAUGAAAAAUCUGAUGUUGAAAAAUUGUUUACAGAUUUUUACGAAAUGAUUGAAACUCAUUUUUUAAAAAAAUCAGCAUUCUUCACACUGAUAAUGGAACUGAUUAUUUUAAUAAAUUUUUGAGUAAUUUUCUAAAAGAAAAAGGAAUACAACAUCAAUCUACUUCUAUUGUUGAGGGGCCUCAGCAAAAUGGAAUUGCCGAGAAAAAUUAGGUAUUUAUUUGAAGUAGCACAUGCUUUGAUGUUCUUUAUGCAUGUCUCAAAGUAUCUUUGUGGAGACGUUAUUUUAACAGCUACUUAUUUAAUUAAUAGAUUGCCUGCCUGUGCUCUAAAAUAUAGCACACCAAUAGAAUGUUUUCAAAAGGAAUUUCCUUUAUCACGAAUGUAUUCAAAUUUUCCUUUGUUUUUUUUUUUGGCUGCAUUGUCUUUGUGCUUAUUCCUAGUAAUAAUCAGUCCAAACUUGAUCCUAGGGCUACCAAUGUGUGCUUUUAAUAAAUGAGGAUACAAAUGCUAUAAUCCCCAAACAAGAAAAUUUAAUGUUAGUAUGGAUGUUAUUAAAAUAAAUCCUAUUUUCACAGAAAUUCUCUUCAAGUGGAGAAUAAAAUGAAAGAGGAAGACAAUUUUUGGCAUCUAUGGUCCAAUCCCUUGCCUAAUUUGAUUGUUUCUUAUCAAGAGCAUUCUUCUGUUCUUCAAAGUCGAGAAAAAAUUGUUACAAUCAACAUAGAUAAUAUGGAAAAUUCUAGGACUAUAGUGCCAAGUAUUAUUGUAUCUAAGACAAGGGAGAAGCUCUACAAACUAAUCUUGAACUUCAGGUUUAUACUCAGAGAAUGCCUCGUCAUUGAAGUCAGCCUACUCUUUGCAAUGACCAAUCUUAACCUUUGGGAACUAGACCUCCAAAUAUCAUAGGUAAUUCUAAUCCUUCAUGUUUUAUUCCCGUGUCACCUCCUAGACAAGUGACAUUUGAUCUUGACAUUCCUAUAGCCAUUAGAUAUCUCUCCUCCAACCAUGAAUCAUUUACUUUAAAAUCUCAAAUUUGUUUGUCCUGAGAAAUAUUUAGGAAGCUCUCGAGGAUCCGAAUUGGAAAUUAGCAGUGAUGGAAGAAAUGAAUGCUCUUAGGAGAAGUGGUACUUGGGAGGUUGGUAACUGACCUAAAAAAAAGGAUAGUAGGGUGUAAAUGGGAUUUUACAGUAAAAUGCGAGCUGAUGGUAGUAUAGAAAGGUAUAAGGCAAGAUUAGUGGCUAAGGGGUUUACUCAAACGCAUGGGAUUGACUAUCAAGAAACUUUUGCUCUAGUAGCUAAGGUAAACUCCAUUAGAAUCUUGUUAUCUUUAGCUGUAAAUUUCAGUUGGCAACUACUCCAAUUAAAUGUAGAAAAUGCUUUCUUAAUGGAAAUUUAGAAGAAGUAUUUUAUGAAUCUUUCACCAGGUUUCAAGGAAAAAAUAGGUUCAAACAGUCUGUAGAAUAAGGAAAGUUUCCUAGAGCUUGGUUCGAGAGAUUUGGGAAAACUGUAAAGAGUUGUGGUUACAGUUAGAGCCAAGCUGACCAUACCAUGUUCUAUAAACAUUGGAGAGAAGGCAAGGUAGCUAUUUUGAUUGUCUAUGUUGGUGACAAUUCUGACAGGUGAUGACAAUGAAGAAUUGAAAAAACUAAAAGAAAAAGUGGCAGCUGAGUUUGAAAUCAAAGAUUUGGGUACACUCAAAUACUUUCUUGGAAUGGAGUUUGCUAGGUCCAAAUAAGGUAUUUUUGUAAAUCAACGUAAAUAUGUUAUUUAUUUGCCUAAUGAGACAGGAAUGACAGAAUGUAAACCAGCCGAUUCACCUAUUGAACCCAACUUGAAACAUUAGCCUUCUAAGGAAGAGGAUGUCCUAAAUAGAAGAGCACCAGAGACUAGUUGGAAGAUUGAUCUACUUGUCACAUACUUGUUCAAAUGUAGCAUUUGCCGUGAGCAUGGUGGAAGCUUACACAGAUGCGGAUUGGGCUGGGAGUUUAGCUGAUAGACAUUCAACUUCAGGCCAAUGUACCUUUGUUGGAGGAACUCUAGUCACUUGGCAUAGCAAGAAACAAAAUUUAUCAGCAAGAAGCCACUCAGAGGAUGAGUUCAAAUCAGUUGCAUCUGGAGUGUGAAGUUUUGUGGAUUAAAAGAAUUCUAGAAGAGUUGAAAGUCUCUUAUCCGUUGCCUAUGAAAGUGUAUUGUGACAAUAAAGCUUCCAUUUCAAUUGUUCACAAUCGAGUGCUCCAUGACAGAACGAAGCACGUGGAAGUAGACAAACCUUUCAUUAAGGAGAAACUUAAAGCUAGUCAAAUAUGCAAGCGUUACAUUCCUACAACAGAACAGAUAGCUGAUAUAUUUACAAAGAGACUUUUUACAAAAUAGUUUGACAAGCUAGCUAUGAAGGACAUUUUUAAACCAACUUGAG